GAUGAAGAACGUAGCGAAACGCGAUAUCUAGUGUGAAUUGCAGAUUUUCGUGAAUCAUCGAGUCUUUGAACGCACAUUGCGCCCCCUGGUAUUCCGGGGGGCAUGCCUAUUCGAGCGUCGUGGUCACGCUUCAAGCCCGGCUUGAUGAUGGGGAACGCCCUCUCUCGGGGGGGGGCCUCCUUCAAAUGCAACUCCAGACGCCUCGUUGGCUGGGAGCGCAGCAGCAGUGCGCUUCCCCGAGGCGACCGGAUGCCCCUCGUGGGCUCGAGAUUGCUAGACCUCGAAUUAGGCAGGGAUACCCGCUGAACUUAAGCAUAUCAAUAAGCGGAGGA
rnacentral:misc_RNA from 1 species